AUUGAACGCUGGCGGCAGGCCUAACACAUGCAAGUCGAACGAGUGGCGGACGGGUGAGUAAUGUCUGGGAAACUGCCUUAUGGAGGGGGAUAACUACUGGAAACGGUAGCUAAUACCGCAUACCAUCAGAUUUUCCCAGAUUGGAGUAUCUAGUAGGUGGGGUAAUGGCUCACCUAGGCGACGAUCCCUAGUUGGUCUGAGAGGGUGACCAGCCACACUGGAACUGAGACACGGUCCAGACUCCUACGGGAGGCAGCAGUGGGGAAUAUUGCACAAUGGGCGCAAGCCUGAUGCAGCCAUGCCGCGUGUGUGAAGAAGGCCUUCGGGUUGUAAAGCACUUUCAGCGGGGAGGCGUUACCCGAAGAAGAAGCACCGGCUAACUCCGUGCCAGCAGCCGCGGUAAUUC
rnacentral:rRNA from 1 species